CGAACGCUGGCGGCAGGCCUAACACAUGCAAGUCGAGCGCGCCUUCGGGUGAGCGGCGGACGGGUUAGUAACGCGUGGGAACGUGCCCUUUAGCUCAGAAUAGCCCCUGGAAACGGGGAGUAAUACUGGAUACGCCCUUCGGGGGAAUAAAGGAUCGGCCCGCGUUAGAUUAGGUAGUUGGUGGGGUAACGGCCUACCAAGCCUACGAUCUAUAGCUGGUUUGAGAGGAUGAUCAGCAACACUGGGACUGAGACACGGCCCAGACUCCUACGGGAGGCAGCAGUGGGGAAUCUUCGGCAAUGGGGGCAACCCUGACCGAGCCAUGCCGCGUGAGUGAUGAAGGCCUUAGGGUCGUAAAGCUCUUUCGCUAGGGAUGAUAAUGACAGUACCUAGUAAAGAAACCCCGGCUAACUCCGUGCCAGCAGCCGCGGUAAUACGGAGGGGGUUAGCGUUGUUCGGAAUUACUGGGCGUAAAGCGCGCGUAGGCGGACCAGAAAGUUAGAGGUGAAAUCCCAGGGCUCAACCCUGGAACUGCCUUUAAAACUCCUGGUCUUGAGUUCGAGAGAGGUGAGUGGAAUUCCGAGUGUAGAGGUGAAAUUCGUAGAUAUUCGGAGGAACACCAGUGGCGAAGGCGGCUCACUGGCUCGAUACUGACGCUGA
rnacentral:rRNA from 1 species